UGCUUCUUUUAUUUUUUCUGAAGGACCCCACCCACCCACACUUAUUCGCCCCCCUUCACCAAAUUCUUAACACACACUGAACACAACGUCAAAUAGCUUCACACUCAACCAAUCACAAGCAACAGCAUUGUGUCAACCUACAUCACAGUGGCCAAUCAAAUGUUUUGUAGUCUGUCAUGUGACACAAAGCCCCGCCCCAUUUGUGGAAUCAUUCAGAGUGCGAGUGGAACUACAGCGAUUCAGCGGUGACUGACCGGCGCAGAUCCAACCGGCUGGAGGAUCCGAGGACAUUUCCGAAGCGAUACAAAUGCUCCUUACGUGGAAUGUCUUCCUUCACGUCUUCUUAAGAUUUUAAAGAAGACGCUGUGCUGGACGGUAGGAGCUGUUGAAGUUUUGACUGUGGGUUUGCGCUCCCUCUCACCCACACUCUGUCUCCAAGAAGCUGCAGGGUUUUCGCUGACUUGGCAAAAGUGCGUCGCGACGCAGGAACAGAAAUAAACUGUCGGCCUUCAAGAACUACAACACACACGCACAUCUUGUCCUCAUCGGACCUCCAAGGCUGAUUAGGUUAACUGUUUUCCCGGCCCCCUACCUCAGUUUCAUGGCACCUGCAGCACUUUGAGAUUGUAUCGCUGUGGUAACUGGGGGAAGCUUCUCUUUUAUCUCAUCGGACCGUCUGGCAUUCCUUUGCUGUCCAACGGCAUCUCAACGAAACAGUCAUGCAGCUUCAAAAGAGAGCCUUGUUCUUCAGUUGUCCUUUACAAACGGGCUGAGGCUCAGAUGAAAGACACACCAAAGGCAAGAGAGACACCAUCAAAAUGGAAACUUGAUUCGGAUUGGUCAGUCGCGACAUUCUGUAGUCAAAUAUUUUUGUAUAAUGACUGAUAAACUGUAUAAUUGUCCUUUUGCUGGAAUC